rnacentral:lncRNA from 10 species
GGGGUGGAGUGUGCACAUUCUCCCCGUGUCUGUGUAGGUUUUCUCUGGGUACGCCAAUUUCCUCCCAUAUCCCAAUGUGCACAUUAUGUGAAUUGGCGUGUCUAAAUUGUCUCAUUUGAGUGAGUGUGUGUGUGUGUGCGUGUGUGUGUGUGCAUGUGUGUGUGUAAGUGUGCCCUUGGAUGGAAUGGUGUCCUUUUCAGGGUUCCUUCCUUGUGCCCAGAGCUGCAGGGAUGGACUCCAGCCACCUGUGACACUGAACUAAAAUAAUCAGCGAAAUAAUUAUCUUAUUUGUUUCCGUUAAUCUUUCUUAAAUGUACGUAAAGCUCAAAUUUAAUUCAAUGUUUAAUAUUAGAAGUAUUUCGGUCCUUAUUUAGAUUCUGUGUUUGGAAAAUAGAAUUUACGUGGCAGGGUCAGCCCCUCACAACUGAAGUUAAAAAUAUCUGACACUAGCUCUCCCAGCCUCCCUUGCUAUUGUGGUAGAGCAUACACAUUCCACUAGUCAGAUACACAUGCCCCAGAGUGGGAAUCAGAAGCUUGUGAUAUGAAAGAGGAGAGGCCUUUCAAAUCCAUCGCAGUGAUGGUGGUGGGGAUAUAUAUCCAGAAUACUGGAUAAAAGCAACUCAGCUGGUUUUGUAGAUUGUCUUAAUUCUUAAGCAAAUUAAUAGCGGUAAUUACAUCAGAAGGGGCA